GAUGGGCUGAGUUGGAAAGCGUGUUGGGGGCAACCCCUCACGAGUUCGAAUCUCGUAUCCUCCGCCA
rnacentral:tRNA from 1 species